AGUGAACGCUGGCGGUAGGCCUAACACAUGCAAGUCGAACGGCAGCACAGUAAGAGCUUGCUCUUACGGGUGGCGAGUGGCGGACGGGUGAGGAAUACAUCGGAAUCUACUUUUUCGUGGGGGAUAACGUAGGUAAACUUACGCUAAUACCGCAUACGCCCUACGGGUGAAAGCAGGGGAUCUUCGGACCUUGCGCGAAUGAAUGAGCCGAUGUCGGAUUAGCUAGUUGGCGGGGUAAAUGCCCACCAAGGCGACGAUCCGUAGCUGGUCUGAGAGGAUGAUCAGCCACACUGGAACUGAGACACGGUCCAGACUACUACGGGAGGCAGCAGUGGGGAAUAUUGGACAAUGGGCGCAAGCCUGAUCCAGCCAUACCGCGUGGGUGAAGAAGGCCUUCGGGUUGUAAAGCCCUUUUGUUGGGAAAGAAAAGCAGCAGGUUAAUACCCCGCUGUUCUGACGGUACCCAAAGAAUAAGCACCGGCUAACUUCGUG
rnacentral:rRNA from 1 species